ensembl:lncRNA
GGAGCUGCGCAGGGCUGGACUCACCGCCAACCCCCGAAAAUGCCAUCUGGGCCUGUCUGAGGCGAACUAUCUGGGUUUCCAGGUGGGAAGAGGAGUCAUCAGACCCCAGGAAAAGAAGGUUGAGGCAGUCCGCGCCGCCCCAAGACCCAGUACAAAGUCCCAGCCUCCCCUCUGACAGACCUAACCAGGAAGGGUCAGCCAGAGAAAAUCAACUGGACGCCCGAAGCUGAGGAGGCAUUGAGAAAAAUAAAGAUGGCAUUGACGGCAGAGCCGGUCCUAAGAGCGCCAGAUUUUGGCUGUCCUUUCCUGCUGCAAACAGAUGCGUCCGAUACAGGACUGGGAGCCGUCCUGUCCCAGAUUCAGGAAGAUGAGGAGCAUCCUGUCUUGUACCUCAGCCGGAAGCUGACCCCGGCCGAAAAAAACUACGCCGCGGUGGAGAAGGAAGCUCUGGCCAUCAAGUGGGCAGUUCUGGAAUUACGGUAUUACCUCCUAGGCAGGCGAUUCACUCUCUUUACAGACCAUGCGCCCCUCCAGUGGAUGGCCCGCGCCAAGGACACGAACGCCAGGGUGACACGGUG